UUAGAAUCUCGAAUGAAUCAACCCAAGAUAUUGAUUGACAUGAAUAUCUGUCGUGGUCUUUUUCUUAAAAUGUACUCCACCUCCAAGCGUUCAAUGUCAUCUUGAAGUUGACGUUGCUAUAUUUGGAUACAGGUGAAGAUUUGAUUAGGUUCCAUUUACUGUCCAUAUUCAACAAUUAUCUAAAUGGUAGACAUUAACAGAGAUAAGUUUCAUAAUUACAAUGUUUAAUAAUAUGUAAACAAUAUUAGAUAAGAGUUCUUAGCAGAUCACACGCUUAAAGCAGUUUUAGACUUUGUCGAAGCAACUAACCCCCAUCAUGGCCCAUGUAUUUUUGUAACGGUGUGUUGUCCGAAUUCUUAAAGGGCAAUUUUCUUGAUUGUUUUAUAAAAGAAUGUCAAACAAAAAUAUAAAAAAACAACCAUAUGGAGCUAAAUAUAUUUAAUCUUAACUUAAUAACAGUUACAUUUAGUAGCUUUAUAUGCAGAAUAUUUAUACUCAACAUCACUUGACUUGCGGUAUCACUUAACUCACGGUAUUUCGUUGUGUGCCACCAAGCUGAUGUUUACAUUGUCAACAAGCAGACUUACUUUCGUUUUUCAUUGAAAUACUACUUUCUGGGUGAAAAUGAGUGGAAUACUGAAAAUGAAACAAUUCAGAGACAAGAAGCCAUAUGACAGAAAUAAUCUGCAAAGGGCAGACACUGGGUCCACUUGACAUACUGCUGUGAUAUGAGGGUCCUGAGAAGAGACAGCACAUUUUUGUGCAUUCACUGUUCUGCUGAAGAAUGAACGAAUAACACUGUUUCAUCAAAUAAAACAAUAAAAUGUAUCAGGGGUUCCGCUGUCGAUCGCCAUUGGCGCCAAAUGGCGCUAAAUUUUUAAAUGUGGCUCCGAUUUUUUAAAAGUGGCGAAUUUCAAAAAAUCGGUAAAAUCCUAUCCGAAAAUGUACUGCGAGUCGAAAGCACGCGACCGAGCAUUAGCGGCCAGCGUCUGUCAGUUGUAAAUAUUGAUUUACGACGAUGUAAGCGACCUACAGUGCAGAGUGCAUUAGAAAUCACCGAAGCGUGCAACUAGAAUGGAUUGUGGCAAUUAUCUGGGCCUUUCUGUCAGGAAAAAGGCGUGAACAACAGUCCUUUAAUUGAACCUGGAAAUCAUCCACCACUAACAGAAAACUUGUUAACAACAGAAGCUGAUGUAUAUCAUGUCCAAAUGACCAAAUAUAACUGUUAAACAAUUUGAAGUGAGAUGCUUUAUUUUCUGAUUCCCUUUCAAAUGAUGAACAUUGGUGUGAUUUUAUGUUUAAAUAAUUAAUUUCGAAACAUUUAUGCAGCAUACUGUUAAAUACAUUGAUGUUAACAUUAUUAUAUUAUUUUGGUUAUCUGUGUUGUUUAUCAAGUUAAAAAAAUGUUAUUUAUAUACAAUAAAGCUUAUUAAGACUUA